rnacentral:rRNA from 1 species
GAGGGUGCGAGCGUUCAUCGGAAUUACUGGGCGUAAAGCGUACGCAGGCGGUCUGUUAAGUCAGAUGUGAAAUCCCCGGGCUCAACCUGGGAACUGCAUUUGAAACUGGCAGGCUAGAGUCUCGUAGAGGGGGGUAGAAUUCCAGGUGUAGCGGUGAAAUGCGUAGAGAUCUGGAGGAAUACCGGUGGCGAAGGCGGCCCCCUGGACGAAACUGACGCUCAGGUACGAAAGCGUUAAGUGAUCC